UGUUGGUUUCUCCCUUCUGACGAACCAUGAUGUCAUUUAUUUGGUGUUGUGGGGAAUCAGGACUGUUACUUUGAAAAAAUUAGAGCGUUUAAAGCAGGCUCACGCUUGAAUACAUUAGCAUGGAAUAAUGAAAUAGGACGUUUGAUUCUAUUUUGUUGGUUUCUAGGAUCGACGUAAUGAUUAAUAGGGAUAGUUGGGGGCGUUAGUAUUCAAUUGUCAGAGGUGAAAUUCUUGGAUUUAUUGAAGACUAACUACUGCGAAAGCAUUUGCCAAGGAUGUUUUCAUUAAUCAAGAACGAAAGUUAGGGGAUCGAAGACGAUCAGAUACCGUCGUAGUCUUAACCAUAAACUAUGCCGACUAGGGAUCGGAUGAUGUUAAUUUUUUAAUGACUCAUUCGGCGCCUUACG
rnacentral:rRNA from 1 species